rnacentral:rRNA from 1 species
GGAUUUUGUUUGAAAGGUGGCUUCGGCUAUCACUUCUGGAUGAUCCCGCGGCGUAUUAGUUAGUUGGUGAGGUAAAGGCCCACCAAGACGAUGAUACGUAGCCGACCUGAGAGGGUAAUCGGCCACAUUGGGACUGAGACACGGCCCAAACUCCUACGGGAGGCAGCAGUAGGGAAUCUUCCACAAUGGACGAAAGUCUGAUGGAGCAAUGCCGCGUGAGUGAAGAAGGGUUUCGGCUCGUAAAACUCUGUUGUUAAAGAAGAACACCUUUGAGAGUAACUGUUCAAGGGUUGACGGUAUUUAACCAGAAAGCCACGGCUAACUACGUGCCAGCAGCCGCGGUAAUACGUAGGUGGCAAGCGUUGUCCGGAUUUAUUGGGCGUAAAGCGAGCGCAGGCGGUUUUUUAAGUCUGAUGUGAAAGCCUUCGGCUUAACCGGAGAAGUGCAUCGGAAACUGGGAGACUUGAGUGCAGAAGAGGACAGUGGAACUCCAUGUGUAGCGGUGGAAUGCGUAGAUAUAUGGAAGAACACCAGUGGCGAAGGCGGCUGUCUAGUCUGUAACUGACGCUGAGGCUCGAAAGCAUGGGUAGCGAACAGGAUUAGAUACCCUGGUAGUCCAUGCCGUAAACGAUGAGUGCUAAGUGUUGGAGGGUUUCCGCCCUUCAGUGCUGCAGCUAACGCAUUAAGCACUCCGCCUGGGGAGUACGACCGCAAGGUUGAAACUCAAAGGAAUUGACGGGGGCCCGCACAAGCGGUGGAGCAUGUGGUUUAAUUCGAAGCUACGCGAAGAACCUUACCAGGUCUUGACAUCUUCUGCCAAUCUUAGAGAUAAGACGUUCCCUUCGGGGACAGAAUGACAGGUGGUGCAUGGUUGUCGUCAGCUCGUGUCGUGAGAUGUUGGGUUAAGUCCCGCAACGAGCGCAACCCUUAUUAUCAGUUGCCAGCAUUCAGUUGGGCACUCUGGUGAGACUGCCGGUGACAAACCGGAGGAAGGUGGGGAUGACGUCAAAUCAUCAUGCCCCUUAUGACCUGGGCUACACACGUGCUACAAUGGACGGUACAACGAGUCGCGAAGUCGUGAGGCUAAGCUAAUCUCUUAAAGCCGUUCUCAGUUCGGAUUGUAGGCUGCAACUCGCCUACAUGAAGUUGGAAUCGCUAGUAAUCGCGGAUCAGCAUGCCGCGGUGAAUACGUUCCCGGGCCUUGUACACACCGCCCGUCACACCAUGAGAGUUUGUAACACCCAAAGCCGGUGAGAUA